rnacentral:rRNA from 1 species
GAUGAACGCCGGCGGUGUGCCUAAUACAUGCAAGUCGAACGCGUUGGCCCAAACUGAUUGAACGUGCUUGCACGGACUUGACGUUGGUUUACCAGCGAGUGGCGGACGGGUGAGUAACACGUAGGUAACCUGCCCCAAAAGCGGGGAUAACAUUUGGAAACAGAUGCUAAUACCGCAUAACAAUUUGAAUCGCAUGAUUCAAAUUUAAAAAGAUGGUUUCGGCUAUCACUUUUGGGAUGGACCUGCGGCGCAUUAGCUUGUGGUAGGUAACGGCCUACCAAGGCUGUGAUGCGUAGCCGAGUUGAGAGACUGAUCGGCCACAA